rnacentral:rRNA from 1 species
UGGGGAAUAUUGCACAAUGGGGGAAACCCUGAUGCAGCGACGCCGCGUGAGCGAAGAAGGUUUUCGAAUCGUAAAGCUCUGUCCUAUGGGAAGAUAAUGACGGUACCAUAGGAGGAAGCCCCGGCUAAAUACGUGCCAGCAGCCGCGGUAAUACGUAGGGGGCAAGCGUUGUCCGGAAUCACUGGGCGUAAAGGGUUCGCAGGCGGAAAUGCAAGUCAGUUGUGAAAGGCAGAGGCUCAACCUCUGUAAGCAAUUGAAACUGUAUUUCUUGAGAUGUGGAGAGGCAAGUGGAAUUCCUAGUGUAGCGGUGAAAUGCGUAGAUAUUAGGAAGAAUACCGGUGGCGAAGGCGACUUGCUGGACACAAACUGACGCUGAGGAACGAAAGCGUGGGUAGCAAACAGG